rnacentral:rRNA from 1 species
CCUACGGGCGGAGCAGUGGGGAAUCUUAGACAAUGGGCGCAAGCCUGAUGCAGCCAUGCCGCGUGUGUGAAGAAGGCCUUCGGGUUGUAAAGCACUUUCAGCGGGGAGGAAGGCGUUAAGGUUAAUAACCUUGUCGAUUGACGUUACCCGCAGAAGAAGCACAGGCUAACUCCGUGCCAGCAGCCGCGGUAAUACGGAGGGUGCAAGCGUUAAUCGGAAUUACUGGGCGUAAAGCGCACGCAGGCGGUCUGUCAAGUCGGAUGUGAAAUCCCCGGGCUCAACCUGGGAACUGCAUUCGAAACUGGCAGGCUAGAGUCUUGUAGAGGGGGGUAGAAUUCCAGGUGUAGCGGUGAAAUGCGUAGAGAUCUGGAGGAAUACCGGUGGCGAAGGCGGCCCCCUGGACAAAGACUGACGCUCAGGUGCGAAAGCGUGGGGAGCAAACAGGAUUAGAUACCCCUGUAGUC